CCUACGGGUGGCAGCAGUGGGGGAUAUUGCACAAUGGGGGAAACCCUGAUGCAGCGACGCCGCGUGUGGGAAGACGGUCCUCUGGAUUGUAAACCACUGUCCCCAGGGACGAAGAUGACGGUAGCUGGGGAGGAAGAGCCGACUAACUACGUACGAGCAGCCGCGGUAAUACGCAGGGAGCGAGCGUUGUCCGGAUUUACUGGGUGUAAAGGGAGCGUAGGGGGGGAUGCAAGUUGGGUGUCAAAACUACCGGCUCAACUGGUAGUCGCACUCAAAACUGCAGCUCUUGAGUGAAGUAGAGGCAGGCGGAAUUCCUAGUGUAGCGGUGAAAUGCGUAGAUAUCAGGAGGAACACCAGUGGCGAAGGCGGCCUGCUGGGCUUUUACUGACGCUGAGGCUCGAAAGUGUGGGGAGCAAACAGGAUUAGAUACCCCGGUAGUC
rnacentral:rRNA from 1 species